CAUUUCCAAUUGAAUGAUAUUGAGUUUACAAAAUGACGCAUCUAACCUAGAGCAUCCUAAGAUUUUCAAUUUUGGAACUUCUUUUCUCCAUGCUACUGUGUGACUACAUGUGUUAUCAUCAUUCAUUUUGAGAAAUUCAAACAAAUGAUGGAAUUGUCGCCCUUUACAAAGAGGAACUCAAAUGAUAUGUAUUACUAUAUACAUUGCAACAGCAUACAACAACGGCCGUCUCUCUACAGCUCACCUUCUUCAGCAUCAAGUAUGUUUGACAAGCAAUAAGCAAAACUCACCCACAUGAUGUGCUGAUCAUUGCCACUCCUUUUAACAAUUGAUUAAUCCCAAGCAUGAGGAAAAGAGCAUUGUCAUAUAGGCAUCAAGUAUGUUUGACAAGCAAUCAGCAAAACUCAUCCACAUGAUGUGCUGAUCAUUGCCACUCCUUUUAACAAUUGAUUAAUCCCAAGCAUGAGGAGAGGAGUGUCAUCGUAUAACCCCAACUACAACAGGCACGAAAAAAGUUAUUAAGUUAUGUGCCUCUGCUUUCCUUAU
rnacentral:lncRNA from 1 species